GUGAAGGAAAGUGAUUGUCGCCCUGUACUCAGCGCUGGUGAGGCCACACCUCAAGUGCUCUGUUCAAUUUUGGGUGCCUCAAUGCAGGAAAGGCACUGGAGCAGGUGCAAAGAAGAGCAGCUAAGCUGUUGAAGGGCCUAGGGAAUAAAUCUUAAUGAAGAGCAGCUGAGGGAACUGGGACUCUUUAGUAUGAGGAAGAGGAGCCUGACGGGAGACCUUAUCACGCUCUACAACGGAGUGGAAGGGCAAUACAGAGAGGAGGAAGAAAUUACUGCUAGUGUGUAGCUAGCUAGAACAGAAGAAGCCAAAGAGCAGAAGUCUCAAUUUCUCCACAACUAUUCCUACAGCUCAGGAUGCUCAAAACGUGAGGAAAGGUUACCAUUUUCUCUUGCAUUCUACAAGGCUUUACCAGAGAAAACGACAUCCCAGACUUUGUAAUGCGGUCACCACAUGAAGUAUGCCCAUGUCUCUUUUGUUAGGCAUUCUUUUGAUUUUUUGUAUGAAUUAUUUAUCACUCAUUAAUGUGAAGAGAAGUGGAUUGUGCUCAUGAACAUGACCAAGAGAAUAAAAAGGCAG